rnacentral:rRNA from 1 species
CAGUAGCCGCGGUAAUACGUAGGGUGCGAGCGUUAAUCGGAAUUACUGGGCGUAAAGCGUGCGCAGGCGGCUUUUUAAGUCGGAUGUGAAAUCCCCGAGCUCAACUUGGGAAUUGCAUUCGAUACUGGGAAGCUAGAGUAUGGGAGAGGAUGGUAGAAUUCCAGGUGUAGCGGUGAAAUGCGUAGAGAUCUGGAGGAAUACCGAUGGCGAAGGCAGCCAUCUGGCCUAAUACUGACGCUGAGGUACGAAAGCAUGGGGAGCAAACAGGAUUAGAUACCCCCGUAGUCCCUGUCUCUUAUAC